rnacentral:rRNA from 1 species
GUCCAUGGCAAUACCACCCUGAACGUGCCCAAUCUUGCCUGAUCUUGGAAGCUAAGCAGAGUCGGACCUGGUUAGUACUUGGAUGGGAUUCCGCCUAGGAAUACCGGGUGCUGUAGGCU